AUUGAACGCUGGCGGCAGGCCUAACACAUGCAAGUCGAACGAGUGGCGGACGGGUGAGUAAUGUCUGGGAAACUGCCCGAUGGAGGGGGAUAACUACUGGAAACGGUGGCUAAUACCGCAUCCCAUCGGAUGUGCCCAGAUGGGAUUAGCUAGUAGGUGGGGUAACGGCUCACCUAGGCGACGAUCCCUAGCUGGGCUGAGCGGGUGACCAGCCACACUGGAACUGAGACACGGUCCAGACUCCUACGGUAGGCAGCAGUGGGGAAUAUUGCGCAAUGGGCGCAAGCCUGAUGCAGCCAUGCCGCGUGUAUGAAGAAGGCCUUCGGGUUGUAAAGUACUUUCAGCGAGGAGGCGUUACUCGCAGAAGAAGCACCGGCUAACUCCGUGCCAGCAGCCGCGGGAAUAC
rnacentral:rRNA from 1 species